rnacentral:rRNA from 1 species
AUUGAACGCUGGCGGCAUGCCUUACACAUGCAAGUCGAACGGCAGCACGGGUGCUUGCACCUGGUGGCGAGUGGCGAACGGGUGAGUAAUACAUCGGAACAUGUCCUGUAGUGGGGGAUAGCCCGGCGAAAGCCGGAUUAAUACCGCAUACGAUCUACGGAUGGAAGCGGGGGACCUUCGGGCCUCGCGCUAUAGGGUUGGCCGAUGGCGGAUUAGCUAGUUGGUGGGGUAAAGGCCUACCAAGGCGACGAUCAGUAGCUGGUCUGAGAGGACGACCAGCCACACUGGGACUGAGACACGGCCCAGACUCCUACGGGAGGCAGCAGUGGGGAAUUUUGGACAAUGGGCGAAAGCCUGAUCCAGCAAUGCCGCGUGUGUGAAGAAGGCCUUCGGGUUGUAAAGCACUUUUGUCCGGAAAGAAAUCCUUGGCCCUAAUACGGUCGGGGGAUGACGGUACCGGAAGAAUAAGCACCGGCUAACUACGUG